rnacentral:lncRNA from 1 species
AGAGUUUUCAGCUCUCGGAGCCUCCGGCGCUGCAGAUCACAGUCAGAGCAUUGGGUUUUAUUAAGUUGUAUUGGGUUUUAUUAAGUUGUAUUGGGUUUUAUUAAGUUGUAUUGGGUUUUGUUAAGUUGUAUUGGGUUUUAUUAAGUGGUAUUGGGUUCUGUUAAGUUGUAUUGGGUUUUAUGAAGUUGUAUUGGGUUCUGUUAAGUUGUAUUGGGUUUUAUGAAGUUGUAUUGUUUUUUAAAGUUGUAUUGGGUUUUGUUAAGUUGUAUUGGGUUUUGUUAAGUUGUAUUGGGUUUUAUUAAGUGGUAUUGGGUUCUGUUAAGUUGUAUUGGGUUUUAUUAAGUUGUAUUGGGUUCUGUUAAGUUGUAUUGGGUUUUAUGAAGUUGUAUUGUUUUUUAAAGUUGUAUUGGGUUUUGUUAAGUUGUAUUGGGGUUUGUUAAGUUGUAUUGGGAUUAAUUACGUUGUGUUGGGUUUUAUUAAGUUGUAUUGGGUUAUGUUUAGUUGUAUUGGGUUUUGUUAAGUUGUAUUGGGUUUUAUUAAGUGGUAUUGGGUUCUGUUAAGUUGUAUUGGGUUGUAUUAAGUUGAAUUGGGUUUUGUUAAGUUGUAUUUGUUUUUUAAGUUGUAUUGGGUUUUAUUAAGUUGUAUUGGGUUUUAUUAAGUUGUAUUGGGUUUUAUUAAGUUGUAUUGGGUUUUGUUUAGUUGUAUUGGGUUUUAUGAAGUUGUAUUGGGUUUUGUUAAGUUGUAUUUGUUUUUUAAG